rnacentral:rRNA from 1 species
UACGUAGGGACCUAGCGUUGUCCGGAUUCAUUGGGCGUAAAGAGCUCGUAGGCGGCUGCUCAAGUCGAAUGUGAAAACUCGAGGCUCAACCUCGAGCCUGCAUUCGAUACUGGGCGGCUAGAGUCUGGUAGGGGGAUCUGGAAUUCCUGGUGUAGCGGUGAAAUGCGCAGAUAUCAGGAGGAACACCUAUGGCGAAGGCAGCUCUCUGGGACGGUACUGACGCUGAGACGCGAAAGCGUGGGGAGCAAACAGG